GACGCGAGAUAGCUAGCUGGUGGAGCCAUCUGCCCGGUAUGCGGAGGGCCGCCGGUUCGAUUCCGGCUCGCGGCG
rnacentral:tRNA from 1 species